rnacentral:lncRNA from 1 species
GCAGUCUUGUUUAAGCUUAGAUUUAAUAUCAUGCUGUCACUGCAGGCAAGCUUUGUUCCCUAGCAAUGAGAUGUCUACAUAUUAUGGAUGCACGACUCCCUCAGAGAACAGCCAGAUUACGGGAUUACUCUAAGGAAAAUUUCGCAACAACAUUUAAUUCCUUCCUGAUGAAGUGAUUUUCCACAACACUUUGCUAUAGCGUAUUGGCAGAUGAAGAGAGAAUGGGGGACAAAAUGCAUUUGCUAAUCAUACACAAUAAUGAUAAAUACAAAGCCCGUUGUCCUGCUGAGGGAAUCCAACCCGCUGGAUAACAUAUAAAGCCAUGUGAGGUCUGUGAGAUGCCUCCUAUAAGCAGAGUAAGAGCAGCCUGCGUCUCUUAGAAAGGUCAUCACAGAAAGAUUUGGGCCCACAACUGUUCAAGCCACAGUGACAAGUGAAAUGCUUAUCAAGUAGAUCUUGAAAUAUACCAGGUUCCCCAGUCCAUCUAAACAGUGUGCAGAGCGAGGAGAGCAGGGCUACAGGGAAGAGCGGGAUCACCAAGCCUCCAUUACAGGCAAUCUCAGGCGAGCGGCCUGGCAGCCCCAUGCUGUGAGGAACCUGGGCCUGCUCGGCUGGGAUUCCUCCAUGUGAGGGGCUGGGGUAGCAGUGCUGGGAGCUGCUCUGAGGGCAGGGAGUGCUUGGGACAGGAAAGAAAAAGGCCCUGUGCAUUUGCAGGCUCCUGAUCCUACUGAAGGAGGGGACUGCAGCAGGGGUCAGGAUUUGGCAGAGGAUUAGUGUGAGAAGUGUCUACCUCCAGUCAUGGCCAGGCAUCAAGUCCUCCUUUCACAAGGAAGUGUCAAAUAUUGGGAUCCCUGUGACACUGGAGACUAUUCUCAUGUCCCACUGACAUUAAAGCUCCCUCUGAGGACAAAAACAAGAUUCUGCUGCCCCUGACUACUGAGGAUCCCCUCUACAAGUCCAGCAUAGUAUGAAGUGUAAUAAGCAAAUAGCAAAAAUGGAGAGGAAAUGGAAGAAGGGAAGUGUUCCACAGAGAGAAACAUAUUACAAACAGCAGAGGAUCGUCCAAGCAUGCUCUCUGCUGUGCUUCAGGAAAACAACUCAUUUACCAGAUGUUUCAAAUUGUGUGUAAAAUAUAAAAGAGCAUACUGGGGAAAAUGUAUUUAAUACUAGAAUCUUUGUCUCUCUAUUGCAAGAACACAAUAUGCAAAAUGUGAGCUAGCU